ensembl:lincRNA
AGAGCGGAUGGGACAGAAACCAUGGCUGCCUCCUGCGGACCGAGGAUUGGGGCUCCGAAGUGCAAAGGUCACCCAACCUCCAAGGUCACAGGUGAUCUCCGAGGUGAGCUCGUGGUCUUGCCCCCGAGAGCUGUGUCUCUGCAGGGGGCCAGCUCCCCAUGGGGCUCCCAUCCUCCCUUGGGUUUCUGCCCCUCCCAGCACAAGCAGGGUACAGGGCAGGGCGGGGCGCUGAGCUGCGUGCAAAGAUGAGGGAGGCUGUGUAGGUGGCUGGAGCUGCAGCCCGUGCGGGUGCUGCUUCUAAGUACUCUCUGCUCUGGGGAGCAGCGCGCAGGGGUGGGAGAAGUAGCUGCUGGAACACACAAAAGGACAGAAGGCGCCGUGGGCAGAGCGCGCUCCCACGCGCGGCUCCUUCUCCUCUCCCUGUCCCCUCAGAGAGCCCCGCACAGCCUUCCCCCGAGAUGCCGGGAGCCCAGGACACUCAGCUUCCCGGCUUUUCCUCCCCGCUGGUCCCCUCUGCGAGCUCCGUGCUCCGGGAGAAGCCCGGGGACGCCCCUGCCGUCCUCCACUGAAAACCAAAGCCCCAGCCCAGCAUCUGGACCGUGGAGGGCCUGGACUCCCAGAACAAUAGAGAUCCGCAGGCCAGCAGGGUAAAAAUAACCUGGCGGCAGUUACGGCAGCAGAGCCAAUCAGGACCAGCGCAGGGGAAGAGAUGUGCGGAGUCUGACUUCAUCCUCGCGCCGUUUCCACUGCUCCGGCAGGGCCGCAUGACUAAGCUGCUGGGUGUUAAAAAAUGUCUGAGUCUACUUUUUUCUGCCCUCGACUGUGAUGAAAUCGAUUCUUGCUGAAGAGGUUUCGUGCAGCCCACAGAGGAACACUGCGGCCAUCAAUAACCACAGGCCGGGGAUGGAAAACGGGACAGAAAGGAGAAGCACACAGGGCUGAGCAAACUCGAGGUUCCUCCAACCCAGCGCCUCAUGAACAGGCUGGAGACACCGGGUUCAAAUCUCCCUGCUGUCCUCUGGAGGCCUGUGACCUGCCAGCUGUCCUCUCACGUUCCUGCAGAAGACACUCGCUGUUGAGAACCUCCAGGACAACGUUCUUGGCAUGGGACGCUCGGCAGAGAACGCCAACGAGGUCUGCAUGGAGGAACCUACCUUGUGAUGCUACAGAGCACAGCAGACCUUCAAAACCUCUGCCAGGCUCUGGAGCGCAGGGCCACCCAGCCAGGCCCCACAGGGAUGGUACCCUGAGGGGCUGGCCCACAAGCGACCGGGACAUCUCUGAGGGGUGGAUAGAGACUCCUCCCACUAGGCCAGCUGCCGCCACCCGCCCCCAGCGCCCUGGACGAAAAGCAGAAUUGGGCCUCAGCAUCCCAAACUGUGGCUGUGCCCUUCAUGGUCUCCACCCCGCGUUUCCUGGGUUUGUCAGGCAGAGCUAUUUACUUCCACAGUGCCCUGGUAGCCUCCAGCCAGGGCAGCUCUGGGGCCACCCUGGCCCUCACAGGAUGUGCAUGCUGCUUGGCCAGCAGCGGCUAUGGGCCUCGCAAGUGGGCACUGCCAUGGCCGGGGACAGUAGCCCACGGGGCACCUUCCGUGUUCCAGGCACAGUGCCGGGCAACGCGCAGGAAGAGCAGGCUGGCCGCGCAGCCACGUGAGUGCCUCGCCUCAGGCAUUGGCGCCGGCCAACCCUCCUGCCUCACGCCAGGCAGAUCUUCCUGGGUGUUACCUGUCUCCCUCCACGCCCACACGAGCAGCACGGGGCUGUGGUCUUCCGCGUUCUGAACUCUGCGGUAGCCUCAGUCCCUGGAGCACAGGGUGCACCCUCAAUAACUAUCCCCUCAGUGAAGAAGCCCAUGAACAAAGGGUCCGGAUCACAAAGGUGUUCCCAAAGCUUGUGUGUGACAGCUCGGUGUCCUGCUGACAGCACUGCUGGGAAGGAGGAAGUCGGGUUAUCGGAGGUGCCCUCAGGGGUACUGGGGCCCCUUUUGCUUCCAGCCCCCAUGAGACGAACAACCUCCCUCCACCCCCUGCGCCUGCCACCAUCACGGACUGUGCCAUCACGGCCCAAAGUAGCAAAACCCAGUGACCAGGGACCAGCACCUUCGAAACCGUGAACCAAAAUAACCCUUUUCUCCUUACACGCGAUUUUCUCAGGUAUUUUGUCACAGUGCCAGAAACCUGACCACCAGAGGGAUCUUUGGGAUGGUUAGCCUAGAGUGUGAAGAGUUGGCCGUGCCCCGUGAAGGCCAGGUUCUUGAGCUCCCCAAGAUCCAAGACCCCCUACAGGUUUCCCACCCCCUGCAUCCUAGGAAAAGCACAGCCUCAGUUACCCUGCAGCGUGUGGCGGUACUCUGAAGUGACACAGCUUGUUGGCAGGAGAACGGCACUUAGUCUGUGAUCAGAAUCUAAUAGAGGGACAGAUCCCUCUUCAAAGGCCUGAUUUAAGAGAGGAACCCUCAGCAGGGAAGAAAGCCAUCUUCACGGCCAGCGCAGGUGGCAGGUGCUGUCCCCUGCAGCAGCAAACCUGACCGACACCCUUGGCACUGCAGGCCCCCAGGAGGGAAUUCCCAGGGGUACCUCUGCAAUUGCACACCCACUCUCAUCCUUUCAAAGACAGACCUUUUCUGUAAAAGGCUGGCUAAUUUUUUAAAUCUCUUCUCCCAUGAAAACAUUGGUUUUCCCUUUAUACACAUUCCAGAAUUUUUAAUAUUCUCCCUCUCUUUCCCUGCCUCCCCUACCAACCAUACCACCUAAAUAAUUAAAGCAUGUUUUGGGCAGCGGAAAUGAAUGUAUACACUGGUAGCCAAUACACUUGGCCACAGUGCUCUUUUAUAUGUGUAUAAAAAUUAAGGGGAAGAUGCUUACAAUUUAAAGAUCUUUUCGUUUUUGUUUGUUUGAUUGAGACAGGGUCUUGCUAUGUAGUUGAGGCUGGCCAUGAACUCACUGUGUAGCCCAGGCUGGGCUCAAACUUGUGGUGAUCCUCCUGCCUCAGCCUCUCGGGUGCUAGGAUUACAGGUGCAUGCCACCAUGCCCAGCUUUCCUUUAUUCUUUACAACAGUCCUCUGAGCAGAUAGAAACACUAAAUAUAAAGCAUUUAAGCAAGCCAUCCACCAUGGAGGUACCCUGAGUACUCAUUUAAAAGUGGAAAAACCUGAAGCACACAGAGGUAGCUGAGUUGCCCUGGGUAACCCUGGGAAGGGAAGCCAAGCAGUGCAUUCCUUUCAGCCCAGCUUGCAAGGCAGCUCAGUGAAGCCAGCUCCUGCGUACAGGGUGAUCAAAAUCUAGGGGAAAGUUCACACUUUUCAUUUAUUACAGUAAAAGACGUAGCCAUUCAUUCCUCUCCAAACCCUCCUCCCCCUUGCUUUGAACACACUCAUCCCAUCAUUCUUGCCCCUUUCUGAAGCAGUUCUGGAAGUCCUCUUUUGUGAGUGUCUUUAUGAGGUGUGAUCAAAACUACGGUGAAUGCCGCUGCUGAGCGCUGGGGCCAGGCCUCUUUCCUGCCUAGUGCUGGGUGCCACUGUGUGCCUCUCGCGAGAGCAGACGUCCCAGUCCGGAAGGCUGCGCCUGCACAGCCCCACUGGGCUUUGUGGGGAGACAAGGAACACGCUGGAGGGUGCAGGUGUCAGCAAAUACAAACGCUGGGCAGAUCCCCAAGGGUGUGGAUGUCCUCAGGCCUUCUGAGGCUUCAGGCUUCAUUCUGGAGAGACUUCUGCAGGACUUUUCACAGAAAUGCAGCACGCUGAGUUGCAUUUUUAAAGGAUGACUCUGGCUCCCUGUGGACUGGCGGCAGGUUGGCCCGGGACAGAGCAGGACGUUUGUCCCCACUGUGACCACAUCAUCCCACCACCUGCCACGGUGUGAGGAGCUUCGGCCCCUCUCCUGCCAUCCACCCUGAGAAGGAGUCACACCUCCACACUCUGUGUAAAUGGAGCUGUUUGAGACUGAACAGGAUGUGGUCUGGGGAUACAGCUCCGUGGUGUAAGUGCCUGCCUGGCAAGCGCAGGGUUCUGAGUUCAAGUCUCAGGACCAAAAAAAAAAAGAGAGACUGAACAGGUUGUGGAUUUCCCAGAGUCACACAGGCUAUCAGUGACAGAAGAAGGACAAAAGCCCAAGUCUCUGGACCACCCCCACUAGCCCGGGUGGCAGUUCUUCCAGGCCUCCAGAACCUAACCCUGGCUCCCCUAAGCAUCAAGCCGCACGGGUUUACUGAGGUCUUGCUACGAGUCCAGCUGUGCUGGGACCUGGGAGGGACAGUGAGUGGCCAGGGAGACUGCGGUCUGGUCUGGGGAGGAGACUGAAGCUACCAGUUGAUCUGUGGAUCUGUCAUUGGUUUCAGUGAUGGGAGUAGGUGGCAGGGCAGCUUCCA